GCGGGUAUAGUUUAGUGGUAGAAUGUCUGCCUUCCAAGCAGAACACGGGAGUUCGAUUCUCCCUACCCGCA
rnacentral:tRNA from 1 species